rnacentral:lncRNA from 1 species
CUCUUCAAAUUCUACAACAAAUUGUGAGGACAAUGAGAGCAGUGUGCCAGUUGAUCCAAGUGUGGUCUUUGUACCAUUUGGGCAUAUGGGAAUCAUUCUGGAGUUUGCCUGCUAGCACUCCUCUGUACAUCAGUAAAAGAACUAGUCAAUGCUAAAGAAAACCCAGAGCAGAGCAAACUUAGGGUCUGGCUCCAUCUUAUGCUGGAAUCUGGAGUUUUAAAGCAGCUAGAAGCAGAUCCUCAAAGAUAUUUAGCUCUUUAAAACAAGUGGAAAUCAGGCCACGCUUACCUGUAAAGCUUUGCUGUUUUGGGAAUUCCCAGAAGCACUUAAGUACCAAUUUUUUCCUAAGAAAGCUUUGAACUUGGGGGAUUGAGCAUUGCUUUCAGGUACCUAUCUACGUGCUUGGGUAUCUACAUAUCACCAGGAUUCCUGCCUGUGGAGGGAUGACAUCAUUGAAUCACAACAGAGCAAGCUAUCUGUGGUGUGGUGCUAUAAAUGCUGUACUCUGCUGGAGCUUACACCCCUGGUAGGACCAACCCUGAAAAAAGUAUUUUCCUCCAGGGUAAGUAAAGUUUUUCAACCCAUAGUGGUAUGUGGGAUCUCAUGCAGCUGGUUUGCACUUCAUAUUCAUUAGCCAAGAGCUGAAUGUGUUGGUUGUAUGAGGAGAGGUUUUUUUCCUUAGACUUGUGUUCAAAGUAAUGUGGUGGUCAUACUGGUCAUAUUUGCUUUCCUUCUGUGAAGCUACUUCACAUUUCUUCUAAAUGGAGACAGGCAGCCUUGGAUCCAAUUUACUUCACCCAUGAUCCUUCUUGUCACACCCAUCAAAGAAGUCUCUUUUGUGCCAGGCUGACAGGUUUGCAGUCCUCCUGAUCAAUUUCUGUUCCUAUGACCUGGUUGCCACUGCCAAGCUUGUGUUCUAUUUAUUUUGCUUAAAAUUACUCAUUCAGCUGUUAGGAGUAUACAUCUGUAGCUUGGACCUUCACAAAUAGAGCCAGUGUAAGAGUUUCCAUGGAAUUGAACACCAUGUUGAUAGAGCAACAGUGUCUGCUGUCCAUUCUCUAUCAAACUUUAUCCACUAUCUGUUAAUCCAGAAGAAGAUCUUGGUGUUUUUCUAUUUAAUGUUUCCCUCUUCUCUGUUUUAAAAAAAUUCUAGUAAUUUUAGUAAAUGAUGGCAUAAUGACAGGUGGAAAACUAUUCCAGUUAAACCUACAGAGGUCCGUAGGCAAAUGGGUCAUCAUGGCUUAUUCUGAAGGAAUUCCUUAGAGGGUAAACAAACCAGUUUAAAACUAAGAAGUGAUUUAUUUUUUUUUUUUCCUUUCAAAUGUUGAACAGAAAUACAGAAAGCUAUGAUAGAAAGCUGUAUUUUAGAUGUUAAAUUAUGCUAGUCCUUUAUCAUUUAUGCAUAUAAGAUUAGUACAUUUUAUGCUAACCUGAAGCAUGGCUAACAGGUCAGAAUAGAUUGGAUUCCUAGCUUGAAAAGUGAAAAUGUAAACCACUUAGGAUAAAAUAGCUUUUCUUUAUAUGAGUUGUAGGAGCAGCUCUGGUUGCAAGGGAGACCUUUUUUCCUCGUCCCUGUUCCCACACACC